rnacentral:rRNA from 1 species
AGAGGGGGCAAGCGUUAUUCGGAAUUAUUGGGCCUAAAGGGCGCGUAGGCGGUGUCUUAAGUGAGAUGUGUAAUCCCCGAGCUUAACUUGGGAACUGCAUCUCAGACUGGGGCGCUAGAGUACUGGAGAGGGUGGUAGAAUUCCACGUGUAGCGGUGAAAUGCGUAGAGAUGUGGAGGAAUACCAGUGGCGAAGGCGGCCACCUGGACAGUAACUGACGCUGAGGCGCGAAAGUGUGGGUAGCAAACAGGAUUAGAUACCCUGGUAGUCCACGCUGUAAACGAUGAACACUUGGUGUGGCGGGAGUUGACCCCUGCCGUGCCGGAGCUAACGCGAUAAGUGUUCCGCCUGGGGAGUACGGUCGCAAGGCUG